rnacentral:piRNA from 1 species
UUUUAUUAGGAAUCUUCAACA